rnacentral:rRNA from 1 species
GGCGAGCUGAUGCAGCAACGCCGCGUGAGGGACGACGGCCUUCGGGUUGUAAACCUCAAUAGCAAGGAAGAAGCGAAAGUGACGGUACUUGCAGAAAAAGCGCCGGCUAACUACGUGCCAGCAGCCGCGGUAAUACGUAGGGCGCAAGCGUUAUCCGGAAUUAUUGGGCGUAAAGAGCUCGUAGGCGGUUUGUCGCGUCUGCUGUGAAAACCCGAGGCUCAACCUCGGGCCUGCAGUGGGUACGGGCAGACUAGAGUGCGGUAGGGGAGAUUGGAACUCCUGGUGUAGCGGUGGAAUGCGCAGAUAUCAGGAAGAACACCGAUGGCGAAGGCAGAUCUCUGGGCCGUAACUGACGCUGAGGAGCGAAAGGGUGGGGAGCAAACAGGCUUAGAUACCCUGGUAGUCCACCCCGUAAACGUUGGGAACUAGUUGUGGGGUCCAUUCCACGGAUUCCGUGACGCAGCUAACGCAUUAAGUUCCCCGCCUGGGGAGUACGGCCGCAAGGCUAAAACUCAAAGGAAUUGACGGGGACCCGCACAAGCGGCGGAGCAUGCGGAUUAAUUCGAUGCAACGCGAAGAACCUUACCAAGGCUUGACAUAUAGAGGAAACGUCUGGAAACAGUCGCCCCGCAAGGUCUCUAUACAGGUGGUGCAUGGUUGUCGUCAGCUCGUGUCGUGAGAUGUUGGGUUAAGUCCCGCAACGAGCGCAACCCUCGUUCUAUGUUGCCAGCACGUAAUGGUGGGAACUCAUGGGAUAUGCCGGGGUCAACUCGGAGGAAGGUGGGGAUGACGUCAAAUCAUCAUGCCCCUUAUGUCUUGGGCUUCACGCAUGCUACAAUGGCCGGUACAAAGGGCUGCAAUACCGUAAGGUGGAGCGAAUCCCAAAAAGCCGGUCCCAGUUCGGAUUGAGGUCUGCAACUCGACCUCAUGAAGUCGGAGUCGCUAGUAAUCGCAGAUCAGCAACGCUGCGGUGAAUACGUUCCCGGGUCUUGUACA